rnacentral:snRNA from 1 species
AUAUGGGAGGAUAUCUGGCUGUAAUAUUUGUCACCCUAUUGAUUUCCAGGUUUAUCUGGCUGCCUAUUUUUUUUCUCACUGUUCUAUGUGUGUUCCUCCUGGAGCUCCUGUACUUGUUGAAGACGACAACUUCCCCGACAGAGGAGGACCAUUCUUCAAUGAUCCUCCUGGAGCUCCUGUACUUGUUGAAGAGGACAACUUCCCCGACAGAGGAGGACCAUUCUUCAAUGAAGGGUGUACCAGUAAUUGUGCUCCCCUGCUAGAACAUCCAAACAAGCUGUCAAGAUCCAUUCAUAAAAUGUAGUAGGAUAACAAAGCCUCCAAGACUCCAGGCACAUCCAAGUAAGUUUUUGCAUAUGACAGUCUUUUUUUCUU